rnacentral:lncRNA from 1 species
GAAAUUUUCGCUUUCAAUAAUGUCGCAAUGGUGGAAAAAUGUGUUAGAAAUGAAAGACGUUUUCAAAAGCGGACUGUAUUACAAGCUUGGAGACGGAGUGCUCAUCGAUUUCUGGUCCGAUAGAUAGUGCGGUAAAAUUUCUCUUAAGUCGUGUUUUCUUGACAUUUUUGCUCACGUGGACAAUCUGAUUAAAAGGGGAUGGUCGGGAAAUAACAAAUGUGUCUUAUGUGUCAACACUUUUAGAGUCUGUAGACCACCUGUUGGUGGGUUGCAUUGUUAGCAGAUUCCUUUUUAUCUCCCUCCUUGAAACGUCAAUACCGUUUGGGAGGCACUGGCAGGGAAGGGGGCACAGGGUGACACCGCAUUGACCUCGAUUCUUGUGGCGGCCAUUUGGUGGACGAUUUGGUGUGAGAGAAACAAUGUUAUUUUUCGGAACCUACAAAUGGAUACCGUCUCUUCCAUUUGUAACAAAGAAUGAAGAAUAAUUUUAAAAAAGAGUGAG